rnacentral:rRNA from 1 species
AUUGAACGCUGGCGGCAGGCCUAACACAUGCAAGUCGAACGAGUGGCGGACGGGUGAGUAAUGUCUGGGAAACUGCCUGAUGGAGGGGGAUAACUACUGGAAACGGUAGCUAAUACCGCAUACCAUCAGAUGUGCCCAGAUGGGAUUCGCUUGUUGGUGGGGUAACGGCUCACCAAGGAGACGAUCCCUAGCUGUGCUGAGAGGAUGACCAGGUACACGGGAACUGAGACACGGUCCAGACUCCUACGGGAGGCAGCAGUGGGGAAUAUUGAACAUUGGGCGCAACCUUGAUACAGCCAUUCCGCGAGUAUGAAGAAGGCCUUCGGGUUGUAAAGUACUUUCAGCGGGGAGGCGUUACCCGCAGAAGAAGCACCGGCUAACUCCGUGCCAGCAGCCGCGGUAAUUC